rnacentral:rRNA from 1 species
CAUGCAAGUCGAGCGGAGAUGAGGUGCUUGCACCUUAUCUUAGCGGCGGACGGGUGAGUAAUGCUUAGGAAUCUGCCAUUUAGUGGGGGACAACAUUCCGAAAGGAAUGCUAAUACCGCAUACGUCCUACGGGAGAAAGCAGGGGAUCUUCGGACCUUGCGCUAAAUGAUGAGCCUAAGUCGGAUUAGCUAGUUGGUGGGGUAAAGGCCUACCAAGGCGACGAUCUGUAGCGGGUCUGAGAGGAUGAUCCGCCACACUGGGACUGAGACACGGCCCAGACUCCUACGGGAGGCAGCAGUGGGGAAUAUUGGACAAUGGGCGGAAGCCUGAUCCAGCCAUGCCGCGUGUGUGAAGAAGGCCUUUUGGUUGUAAAGCACUUUAAGCGAGGAGGAGGCUACCUAGAUUAAUACUCUGGGAUAGUGGACGUUACUCGCAGAAUAAGCACCGGCUAACUCUGUGCCAGCAGCCGCGGUAAUACAGAGGGUGCGAGCGUUAAUCGGAUUUACUGGGCGUAAAGCGUGCGUAGGCGGCUGAUUAAGUCGGAUGUGAAAUCCCUGAGCUUAACUUAGGAAUUGCAUUCGAUACUGGUCAGCUAGAGUAUGGGAGAGGAUGGUAGAAUUCCAGGUGUAGCGGUGAAAUGCGUAGAGAUCUGGAGGAAUACCGAUGGCGAAGGCAGCCAUCUGGCCUAAUACUGACGCUGAGGUACGAAAGCAUGGGGAGCAAACAGGAUUAGAUACCCUGGUAGUCCAUGCCGUAAACGAUGUCUACUAGCCGUUGGGGCCUUUGAGGCUUU